rnacentral:tRNA from 1 species
GGAGAUAUAGCUCAGUUGGUAGAGUCAUAGUCUGAUGUGCUAAAGGUUAAAGGUUCGAGUCCUUUUAUCUCCACCA